rnacentral:rRNA from 1 species
UACGGAGGGUGCAAGCGUUAUCCGGAUUCACUGGGUUUAAAGGGUGCGUAGGCGGGCCUGUAAGUCAGUGGUGAAAUCCUGGGGCUUAACCCCAGAACUGCCGUUGAUACUAUAGGUCUUGAAUGUUGUGGAGGUGAGCGGAAUAUGUCAUGUAGCGGUGAAAUGCUUAGAGAUGACAUAGAACACCAAUUGCGAAGGCAGCUCACUACGCAACGAUUGACGCUGAGGCACGAAAGCGUGGGGAUCAAACAGG